GGGGCUGUAGCUCAGUGGUAGAGUGCCUGCUUUGUAUGUGUGAUGCACUGGGUUUGAUCCCCAGCACCA
rnacentral:tRNA from 1 species